CCUCGAACAUAACUCUGGGGGCACUGGAGGCUGCUGUCGUCACAAGCUUGGCAUGGGAUAAUAGUAUAGGACUCUGGAACUAUUUUGUUGGAUUUAGUCACGAGGAAAUGAAUAAUAUCUUUUCAUCGUAACUCAAACCGACAAAAUAGCUCCAAAAUCC
rnacentral:rRNA from 11 species